GCGCCGGGGAGGCAGAGUAUCAAUGGCUCAGUCUCCUGGCCGGUCAGAGGUCAGGGGUCGCCCAGUGUUUUGGGCAGGGUGCACAUGUAGGAGGAGUAGGAGACAGAUGAUCGCUGUCAGGGAAUGAAUUAUGAGGCUGCAUAAAAGAAGAGUUGGGAUUCAUAUUUUUUUUGUUCACCCAGAAGGAUUUUGACCAAGAAGAACAGAUGGAUGACAGCCCGGUGCAGUGGACAGAACCUAUGCUAAUGAGGAGCCCUUGGGCCCCCCUCCUCUGGGGCCUCGGCAUGAGGAGGGGAAAAGGAAGACAUUAACCCAGAGUGCAGCAGUAGCCAGGUUCUACCAGAUAUUGCUCUCCUGCAUGGAUUGGAUGUCAGAGCGCUCAGUGGACCGGGACGUUCAUCUCAUGGCUUGCAUUAGAGUAAGAGAAAGACUGGGGGGGUGAGACAAAGAGAUACUACAAGAAGACAAGGAAGAUAAAUCGGUGAAUGCUUAUAGGCUUGUUCAUGGCAUAGUUAGGUAAAGAUAAGUGAAUCUUGAUUUAUGCAUUGAUUCAUUGAUCAAUGAAUUCUCAAGCUAUUCCAUGUGAUAUGUAUCUGUGAUACGUGUGGUUGGUAUGUGGUAUAUUUUAUGUGUUUAAUGGUAGUUAUACCACAGGUAGUUCUGGACGGAAAACCUGAUUGGUCAACUAGACCUUUAGAACGGGAUCAAAUUAGCAUGACAGCCCACCUAGUCUUGCUCAAAUUAGAAAUGCCUCAUCAAUAUGAAUAUUUCUCCGUCAUUGAUUCUACCCGUAAUGCAUUAUGCAUGUGAAAUGAGUGGACCUCUGCUCUGAGGAGUCUACGUCUGGACUGAUUGUUUUUUUGGGUAUUAGUCAGACCCCAUACAAUGUUUCCAGGGAAACAGAUACAACUCACAAAAGAUAAUGAAAAAAAUAAACCUAGUUUAUGUUGAUAUUUAGUUGGUUACUGUGGUAUAAUCGCUUGGGUGGACUCGAGGGCGUGCUCUCUCGUGUUUUAUUACUCAAUUAUGACAGCAAAAUAUGCCCUAUGAAUCCAGU
ensembl:lncRNA